UGGCGGCAACGCACGUGCACGUCGAUCGCAAACCAAUCCACACACCUGUGAACGUAUGGCCUCUCGGGUCCUUUUGGACUCGGGGCAAAACCCAUUUUUACUCUGAUCGUAAAGGAAUGUCUUUGCCUAAAGCGCAAAAGCAAACAACUUUCAACAACGGAUCUCUUGGCUCUCGCAUCGAUGAAGAACGCAGCGAAAUGCGAUAAGUAAUGUGAAUUGCAGAAUUCAGUGAAUCAUCGAAUCUUUGAACGCACCUUGCACCCUUUGGUAUUCCGAAGGGUACGCCCGUUUGAGUGUCAUUGUAAUCUCCCCCCCGGGAAUCUUUUCUGGGGAGUGGACUUGGACGUUGCCGUGUCACGGCUCGUCUGGAAUGUCUCAGUGCUACCCCGCCCGUCGGCGUAUACAGUGUGAUAAGUAUCUUCACUGGUCAGCUUCCUCGGAGGCGCGCUCUCGGACGGAUCGGUGUGCUGCCAACCGUCUUCGGACAAUACUCUGACAAUUUGACCUCAAAU
rnacentral:rRNA from 1 species